GCCUGUAGCCAUGGUACCCUGAACAAGUGCAAUCUCAUCUGAUUUUGGAAGCUAAGCAGGGUUGGGCCUGGUUAGUACUUGGAUGGGAGACCACCUAGGAAGAUCAGGUGCUGCAGGAG
rnacentral:rRNA from 1 species